CUCUUUUUGCUUUGUCACCAAAACCUCUGUGUUCCAGAUAGUGACUACUCUGUCUGCGUGGGUCCUGGAGAGAGGAGGAUGCAGAGCACAGCACUUAGCCAACCUGCAAUGGACACGUAGAAUCCUCCUUACUGUCUUGUGUUCAAUGCUGAAGACCUGGUGUCCAUGCCUAACAUAACCUGAAGGUGCCUCUUGAAUGGAUCACAUUUGGCUUUCCUUAUGUCCUUGCUCACUAUCAUGGCUACCACGAGAGCCAAGGCAACCCACAGAGAUGGACUUGAAGUGAGAAAUCUACUCUGACCUUUGCCAGAACAUCCAGCUCAGAUUUUGGCCUAGAAACCUCAAGAAAGGCUCUGGCCUAGACUUGCCCCUUGUUCCUGUCUUCUGGCUCUUGACUGACACUGGUGCUUUCCCCCUGUGGUCCUGCAUGGUGUGUGGUGACUACCUCAUUGGGCCCUAAAACUUCUAAAAUCAUCAGGAGAUAUCACUGAAAAGGUUUCAAAACAAAGCCAUAAUCUCUAGAAAUGUGUCCUUGAUGGGUUGGUCUUCAUUUGCCUGAAGCAGCUGUUUACAGGCAGAUGAGAUCAUUGUUGGCAGCCUCCUUGACUUUCAAUGCUUCUCCCAGGAAUCACCUGCUAUAAGCAGUCAGCUGAGAUCAUCAGCAGAAGUUUCCAGUGGCUCCAGCCUUCCUCCUGAGAAUUACCCACUUCAGUGUUCC
rnacentral:lncRNA from 1 species